UACGAAGGGGGCUAGCGUUGCUCGGAAUCACUGGGCGUAAAGGGCGCGUAGGUGGUGGCUUAAGCGUGCGGUGAAAGCUCGGAGCUCAACUCCGAGUCGGCCGUGCGAACUGGGCUCACUGGAGCAUAGUAGAGGCAGGUGGAAUUCCGGGUGUAGCGGUGGAAUGCGUAGAGAUCCGGAAGAACACCGGUGGCGAAGGCGGCCUGCUGGGCUAUGGCUGGACACUGAGGCGCGGACAGCGUGGGGGAGCAAACAGG
rnacentral:rRNA from 1 species